rnacentral:rRNA from 1 species
UACGGAGGGAGCUAGCGUUGUUCGGAAUUACUGGGCGUAAAGCGCGCGUAGGCGGCUUUGUAAGUUAGAGGUGAAAGCCCGGAGCUCAACUCCGGAACUGCCUUUAAAACUGCAUCGCUUGAAUCCGGGAGAGGUGAGUGGAAUUCCGAGUGUAGAGGUGGAAAUUCGUAGAUAUUCGGAAGAACACCAGUGGCGAAGGCGGCUCACUGGACCGGUAUUGACGCUGAGGUGCGAAAGCGUGGGGAGCAAACAGG